UCAGGUGGCACCACAUAGUCACUGAAGAAUCAAAGUUGGAAUAGGCGACUUAACAACGUAUAGCAUAUUACCAACCAUGUUUUGCCACAAGAAGUGAGAGGCAUCUAGAGCAUACUCAGAGCUGCCAUUCCUGGUUCUAAGAAACUCCAGGGAAGCUUUGGAAGGACGGCUUCCAGCCAUAUGUGAUUCUGGAUGGAGUUAGUGUGAGUGAAGAGUUGAGAAUGACCCUGAGGUGAUGAGCCUGGGAGAAUUGAGACCUCAGGCCUUUGGGAUUUCUUAAUCACAAGAAAUACAUACCUCUUUCAGCCUCUCAAUAUAUUCACAUUCAAACAAACAAAAAAAAGAAGCGCCACUUAACAAUCUUCAGCUGAGAUUCUUCUGCUGUAUCCAAAGUUUAGUUAUCAUCAUUGACUCUUCAGAGACCUCGCAACAAUUAAAUACAAUGUCUGUUGCAUCUGAAGUAAUACCAUAUUUGGAUAAAGACCAUCACCAAAUACCCUUUGUUUUGAACAUUGGGCAUGUUUGAAAAUAAAUAAAAAUACACUAGUGUGUACUUCACUUGAA